CUUGCAUGGAUAUGUGACAAGUGGAUUUCAAGAUCCGAACAGUUUCAGAUCAAACCCAUUUAAUUUAAUUAAAUCCUAACAAUUAGAAUGGUCCAAUUACCAUGGGUUGAACCUAAUCCAAUUAGGUCAAUCCCUAAUUAAGCACAAAUUUAAUCUAAUUUAAUUUGGUCAACCUAAGUCCUCUUGAUUCAGACCUAAUCCAAUCAGGUCAAAAAACCUGAUUGAGCCCAGAAUUGAAU
rnacentral:lncRNA from 1 species